AUUGAACGCUGGCGGCAUGCCUUACACAUGCAAGUCGAACGGCAGCGGGGACUUCGGUCCGCCGGCGAGUGGCGAACGGGUGAGUAAUGUAUCGGAACGUACCAUUGAGUGGGGGAUAACGUAGCGAAAGUUACGCUAAUACCGCAUAUUCUCUACGGAGGAAAGCAGGGGACCGCAAGGGCGUGCGAUCUUUGAGCGGCCGAUAUCAGAUUAGCUAGUUGGGGAGUUAAAGGCUCACCAAGGCGACGAUCUGUAGCGGGUCUGAGAGGAUGAUCCGCCACACUGGAACUGAGACACGGUCCAGACUCCUACGGGAGGCAGCAGUGGGGAAUUUUGGACAAUGGGGGCAACCCUGAUCCAGCCAUGCCGCGUGAGUGAAGAAGGCCUUCGGGUUGUAAAGCUCUUUCGGCCGGGAAAAAAUCGCAUGGGCUAAUACCCUGUGUGGAUGAUGGUACCGGAAUAAGAAGCACCGGCUAACUACGUGCCAGCCGCCGCCGUAA
rnacentral:rRNA from 1 species